CCUACGGGGGGCAGCAGUGGGGAAUAUUGCACAAUGGGCGCAAGCCUGAUGCAGCGACGCCGCGUGCGGGAUGACGGCCUUCGGGUUGUAAACCGCUUUUGACUGGGAGCAAGCCCUUCGGGGUGAGUGUACCUUUCGAAUAAGCACCGGCUAACUACGUGCCAGCAGCCGCGGUAAUACGUAGGGUGCAAGCGUUAUCCGGAAUUAUUGGGCGUAAAGGGCUCGUAGGCGGUUCGUCGCGUCCGGUGUGAAAGUCCAUCGCUUAACGGUGGAUCCGCGCCGGGUACGGGCGGGCUUGAGUGCGGUAGGGGAGACUGGAAUUCCCGGUGUAACGGUGGAAUGUGUAGAUAUCGGGAAGAACACCAAUGGCGAAGGCAGGUCUCUGGGCCGUCACUGACGCUGAGGAGCGAAAGCGUGGGGAGCGAACAGGAUUAGAUACCCCAGUAGUC
rnacentral:rRNA from 1 species